rnacentral:misc_RNA from 1 species
GUUUUUAUAUUUACUUUUUUGUGGGUCUUGCCGUUACUGUUCUAUGCAUCUGUAUUAUCGUUAUUUUGAAACUUUGAUUUCAACUGGUCGUUUUGUUCUACGUAGUGAGACUUACUUGAAUUUUUAUGGGGAUGUUUGGUUACUGAGACAACAGAGGAAAUGGAAAGAAAAGAGAGUAAAACUUGGUGCCGCGUUAGUUUUAAGCAGUUGGUUCUAAAUAACAUAUGGGUUAAAAAAGAGAAAAGAAAGAAAAACUCAGCUUUCUUAUCAGGUUAAAUACUUAAACCUUACUCCCUUUUACUCCAAUUUGAUUCUAAAUCCAGACCCAGAAAUUUCUUAGCAUUUACCCCUCCAUUGAGAGUAGAACAAUUCUAAAAUCUGAAAAUUUCAAGGUUUUCUUUCUGUCUGGUUCCCUUUGUAUGACAUAAGCGUGGACCCUGGAAAUGCCCUUCUAAUUUGAUUUAUUUUCAUAUGAGCUGAUAAACUAUUUUUAGCGAGUUGGUUUCUGUAGCAUCGAUAUGCGUUCCUGUAAUUCAUUAUCAUCUUCCUUGGAUAGUUGAACAGCUGAUUGUAUUUUAAAGUUUUCUUGAAGCUUACAUUGAAUAGGAACUUCAAAUAUGAUUUGUAAAGUGUCACCGCAAAUUUUUUUGGAGGUCUACUUAAAAAUCUGGAAUUUGCUGCCCAUGAGUGUUUAGUUUUAGAUCGCCCUUUUGUCCCUGGAAUCACUGGAACCAUAUGAAUUUCAUAAUGCUUGUUUGUGUCUGUAUUGAGCAGAAAAAUGCUCGCCAUUAGAUUUAUCAUACUUUUUACUUUUUGCUUUGAUCUCUUCCAUGGGAUAUGUUUGUAUAGUAGGACUAAUGAAGUUUACAUCUUUUCACUUUUAUGUAUAUUGAUUUUCUCAACAUUUUCCGAGUUGCAUGUAUUCCUGCUCAACCCCAA